rnacentral:rRNA from 1 species
GAGCGGCGAACGGGUGAGUAACACGUGAGUAACCUGCCCCUGACUCUGGGAUAAGCCCGGGAAACUGGGUCUAAUACCGGAUACGACACCUCCCGGCAUCGGGUGGGUGUGGAAAGUUUUUCGGUUGGGGAUGGACUCGCGGCCUAUCAGCUUGUUGGUGGGGUAACGGCCUACCAAGGCGACGACGGGUAGCCGGCCUGAGAGGGCGACCGGCCACACUGGGACUGAGACACGGCCCAGACUCCUACGGGAGGCAGCAGUGGGGAAUAUUGCGCAAUGGGCGAAAGCCUGACGCAGCGACGCCGCGUGGGGGAUGACGGCCUUCGGGUUGUAAACCUCUUUCAGCAGGGACGAAGUUGACGUGUACCUGCAGAAGAAGCGCCGGCUAACUACGUGCCAGCAGCCGCGGUAAUACGUAGGGCGCAAGCGUUGUCCGGAAUUAUUGGGCGUAAAGAGCUCGUAGGUGGCUUGUCACGUCGGGUGUGAAANGCUUGGGGCUUAACUCCAGGUCUGCAUUCGAUACGGGCUGGCUAGAGGUAGGUAGGGGAGAACGGAAUUCCU